AAAAGCUCGUAGUUGGAUCUCAGUUCCAGACGGGUGGUCCGCCUACCGGUGGUUACUGCCUGUUCUGAACAGCCAGCCGGUUUCUCUUGAUGAUCUUCACCGGUUGUCUUGGGUGACCGGCAAGUUUACUUUGAAAAAAUUAGAGUGCUCAAAGCAGGCGUGACGCCUGAAUAAUGGUGCAUGGAAUAAUGGAAUAGGACCUCGGUUCUAUUUUGUUGGUUUUCGGAACACGAGGUAAUGAUUAAGAGGGACAGACGGGGGCAUUCGUAUUGCGACGCUAGAGGUGAAAUUCUUGGACCGUCGCAAGACGAACUACUGCGAAAGCAUUUGCCAAGAAUGUUUCCAUUAAUCAAGAACGAAAGUUAGAGGUUCGAAGGCGAUCARAUACCGCCCUAGUUCUAACCAUAAACGAUGCCAGCCAGCGAUCCGGCUGUGUUCCUCAAAUGACACGCCGGGCAGCUUCCGGGAAACCAAAGCUUUUGGGUUCCGGGGGAAGUAUGGUUGCAAAGCUGAAACUUAAAGGAAUUGACGGAAGGGCACCACCAGGAAUGGAGCCUGCGGCUUAAUUUGACUCAACACGGGUAAACUUACCCGGCCCGGACACAGGAAGGAUUGACAGAUUAAGAGCUCUUUCUUGAUUCUGUGGGUGGUGGUGCAUGGCCGUUCUUAGUUGGUGAAGUGAUUUGUCUGGUUAAUUCCGAUAACGAACGAGGCUCUAGCCUACUAAAUAGACGUUCCGAUCAUCUCCGUCGGACGUUCUUCUUAGAGGGACAAGCGGCGUUUAGCCGCACGAGACAGAGCAAUAACAGGUCUGUGAUGCCCUUAGAUGUCCGGGGCCGCACGCGCGCUACAUUGAAGGAAUCAGCGUGUGCUUUCCCUGUCCGACAGGACUGGGUAACCCGUUGAACCUCCUUCGUGCUGGGGAUUGGCUUUUGUAAUUUUCAGCCAUGAACGAGGAAUUCCCAGUAAGCACGAGUCAUCAGCUCGUGUUGAUUACGUCCCUGCCCUUUGUACACACCGCCCGUCGCUACUACCGAUUGAAUGAUUUAGUGAGGUCUUCGGACUGGCGCUCGGAGCGGCUCUCACGGGUCGCGCCGGCGUGCCGGAAAGAUGACCAAACUUGAUCAUUUAGAGGAAGUAAAAGUCGUAACAAGGUUUCC
rnacentral:rRNA from 1 species